rnacentral:rRNA from 1 species
CGGACGGGUGAGUAACACGUGGAUAACCUACCUAUAAGACUGGGAUAACUUCGGGAAACCGGAGCUAAUACCGGAUAAUAUAUUGAACCGCAUGGUUCAAUAGUGAAAGACGGUUUUGCUGUCACUUAUAGAUGGAUCCGCGCCGCAUUAGCUAGUUAGUAAGGUAACGGCUUACCAAGGCAACGAUGCGUAGCCGACCUGAGAGGGUGAUCGGCCACACUGGAACUGAGACACGGUCCAG